GAACAGGUGCUUAUGGUUUAUUGCCUGCAUUCCAAACAUUUGAUGAAAGAUCCGUGAGAAACGCCAUUUGUUUUUUCAAGAAGGUAUGUCCAUCCUUAUCACUUGGUUGCUUACUUUCAGUUCUCACUCAUGUCAAGGCAGUUUAGGUGCACCUAUAUUAAUUCUGAUCUGUCCAUUCCCUUGGGUAGGUUUGCUAAAAUGCUCGAGUGAUAAGUGGGAGUGGUUAGCUUACAAAAUUUUAUUUUGUUGGGUUCUGGUGGAGAUGUGCAUUAGUUAAUAUUGGAAAAGGCAAUUAUAUAUUCUAUGCUGAUUGGUAUAGUGAAUCAGGAAAUAAUAAAAAAAAUAGUGGGUUGUUGGGUUAACUGUGUUCUUUAUAUUCCUGCAUGUUUUUAAUGAAGAAACUAGGAGUGAGUCAAACAAAAUGAUAUUUUCUUCACCUCAUUUUGUGCCAAUCUUCAUAAACAAGGUUCUGACAUAUAACUUAUUCUAAAUUAAUUACGUUAACUGUAACACAUUUCUACUUACUCAAGAAUCAAAAUACACUUAGUCAGCUGUGUCUAAAUUUGUAGUUUCAUAGUUAGUUUGCUCUCCAUGUAAUAACAUUUUACUUCUGCUCGCAAAGGUCUCACAUGUGCUGCUGGCUAGAAUGUCAAAAUGACCCCGCAAAAAGAUAAUGCACCCUUCACCAUGUCACCGUCUAUCUCUCAUUUCCUUGACCCCAUUUUCCUGAAAGAUUGCAUAACACAAACGAGUGGGCGGCUCAGUUUUGUAGCUUCCAAUUAUACCCAUGUUAUCCGUAGGCAUUUCUUUCAUUGCCACCAGUUAUAUUCUUGUUGUCCAUGUACAACUGCGGCCUCAUUUUUGAGCAUUCAUUGCUACAAUGUCGCCAAGGUACGGUUUGGUUAUAACAUGCAAGUUCAUAGAGCCUCCUUUCUGCCUAUGACCAAUAAAUAAUAUUGACAGAUUAUCUACUCUUAAGAGGCUUGCUAAUUACUACUAGUAAAAAAUCAUAACACCUCUUUAAUUUUGGUUGCGGUAAAUUAAUUUUGUGUUGCAUAGUACUAUAACUUGGUCAACAAAUAUUUUGGUUGAAAUUGAUCCCUGAAGUUGUUUCUCUCUCCCUCUUUAUAUCCUAGUUUUUUAUUCUAUUUUUUGCUUCUCCUGGACAUGUGCAUGUAUCUUAGUGAUCUGUCAUUUUCUGGCGAGUUUCCGGCCUGUAAUUGUAGAAGUGAAAAGACUUGAAACUUUGGACCUUUAGGCCAGAAGAUUUUUUAGCCAAAUUCUAAGUUAAGCAAGACAUUUUUAGACAUUGAAAGUUUCGAGAUUUUCAGCUAAUCUGUUUACAAGAACAUGGUUAGUAAAUCUGUUGAUUGAAAACUAAUCCUAGGAGUUCCUUGAUUUGUUGGGUCGGUCUCUCUCUCUCUCUCUCUCUCUCUCUCUCUCUCUCUCUCUCUCUCUCUCUCUAAGUUAUGUUUUUUCUUCUGUUGGACAUAUGCAUACAUCAUAGGUGAGGUUUGGAUAGUGAGAUGAGAUGAGAUGAGAUGGUUUUAGAUGAAAGUUGAAUAAAAUAUUGUUAGAAUAUUAUUUUUUAAUAUAUUAUUGUUUUAGGAUUUGAAAAAGUUGAAUUCUUUAUUAUAUUUUUGGUGGGAAUUUGGAAGGGUUGAGAUAGUUGAGAUGAGUUGAAACCAUCUUUGUAUCCAAACCUAGCCUAAGUGAUAUGUCAUUUAACUAUCACAAAAUGGAAUAUCCACUUUCAAGAGUUGAACUAAAAAUUAGACAAAACGGCAAUUAAAGACAUAAUAAAUGGUGGAAACGCCGUUGGAUUAAGUUUUUACUUUUCGAAAGCGAGGAUCUGAGAGGUAUGGUAGGGUGGGUUUCCCCCCAAAACAACUAUUGAUAGAUACAAGGGUUUUUGAACUACUGGCGGAGGGUGUAGGAAUUGAGGGUAGGAAUUGGAAUCACAGGAGGGGACGAAGUUACCGUUGAGGAGAAGCAUGGGGAAAGACCUAGAUUUUAGAGAAUGACCGACUUUUCUCUAGCUCACAAAUCCAGAGCUUACACAAUUGGCAUGGAGGUGUUCUUCUCAAGGUAGUAGAGGGCACUUCUUUAUUUUAUUAUUAUUAUUUUUUAAUGGUUUGAAUCUGUAUUAGGCUUGAAAGUGAACUUAGCAAAUUGAGAAUUCGUUUUAAUCAGAAAUGUUUGUAAUGCGGAGGGCUUGGUAGCAUAUUAAGGUGUAAGGUAUCCUUCUAUUCUAUGACAUUAACCUCUCUUUGAUUUGCUCAGUCAAGACAAAAUUCAGAUUGGCUAGUUCAGAUAGUUUGAUUGAAAAGAUGAAGUUCAAAUAUGCUAGUUGGGAGAGAUUUAUUUGCUUAAUGGUGGAGGCUGGAGUAUCUUGACAAAAAUUACACAACCCAAGUUGCCCAUAUGUUUAGUCUUUGAGACUUGCUAUUACUCAACCUGACAUUAUUGGGAAAAUGGCUAGUGUUAUAAAUAGGAAAUUGGGGCUUUUUGGAAGGGUACAAAUAGACAAGGUUUUGUGGAGCUUGGAGUGGCUAAUGCUCAAAUGAGGGACAUGGACCAUAUGGGGGUUUGGGGUUGUGGAAGCAUUUAAGGAAGAGGAUGGGGGCUAUUUUUGGGCAUACUCAACUUGAGUUUGGGGAAGGAUUCGCAAUGAAAUUUUGGCACCAUUUAUGAUGUGGAGGCAAGUUCUCCAAGGAAGUGUUUCCAAAAGUGUGAGAUUGUGAGAGUGCAGGAAGCCUCAGUAGCUGAUAUUUUGAAAUGAGCAGUGGCUUAUCUCAAUGGAAUGUCAAUUCUUCAAAGAAGUACAAGACGAGGAAGUUGAUGCCUUCGAAGAGGAGCUUCUUAGUCAAUUGCACUCUUCUAAACUGAGAGUGGGAGACGAAGACAAGGCCCUUUCGUGCCCCUGAAGAAGGGGCACGUUCAUUGUUCGUUUAUUUUAUAAAGUUCUCGCAAACUCAUAUGUUAAUCGAUAUCCUUGGAGGAAUAUUUGGAAGACUUAGGCACCUCAAAGAGCAGAUUUUCUGUUUAGACUGCUUUCUCGUGGAAGAUUCUUAAAUUAUACAUGUGGCAGAUCUUCCCUAGAGAUAUAGUCUAAGCAAAGAAAGUCGCUUUCAAAUGGGCCUUUGCUCUUCAAAUUUUCUUCCACGGGAGUGUGUUGUUCAUUAUGACGUGACAAAGAAAGCGAACAUUGAACACCUUUUUCUUGGAUGGGGCCUAGAAAGUUGACUUCAACCUUUUCUUCUCAAAUUUGUGGAAUGCAAUAGGUGAAAAAACUAACUCGACAGUCGACGCUUCUACCUCCCAAGCUUGCGUUGCUUUGAUGAAGCUUCUAUUCCACUGAGAAGAGGCACCUGCAAUCUCCAAAUUGUUUACCGCUGAAGCAUCCUUGAUACAAGUUAUGCUUAACACCCUUGAGAAAACUUCCUUCGGAACCUAUCACCACACCACAAUUCCAAAAUAUGAUCUAGCUCCAUCUUACUCAUAAUUCCUUAUAAUGUUCCAUAAUGGCACCCCACCGCACCUUGAACCUCAUUAGAACAUAUUUCGCUUCACAAGUAUACAUAUUUGGAAUCUAUUAUAGUUCUCCCCAAUGCACCCCUCAUGUGGAUGUCGCCAAGUUCAUAUCACUAAUAAUGCAAGAUCAAACAAUAGCAAAUUCCGAAUCCCCAACACAACUUUUGAAAUAUGAAAGCAAACCUUUGCCCAACUUGCCAGAUGGUAUUUCCUCCUCGGAGCACCCUAAAGGAAGUCUCGCUUCACCUUCUCACUGUGAUUAGCCACAGUAAAAAAGGGCAUGAAACACCAUUGGAUUAAGUUUUUACUUUCCGAUAGCCAGGAUUUGAAAGGUAUGGUAGGGUGGGUUUCCUAAAACAACUGUUGAUAGAUACAAGGGUUUUUGAACUACUGCCGGAGGGUGUUCACACUUUAUGCCUGAUUGAGAGUAGGAAUUGGGAUCACAGGAGGGGAGGAAGUUACCGGUUAGGAGAAGCAUGGGGAAACACCUAGAUUUUAGAGAAUGACCAAAUUUUCUGUAGCUCACAAAUCCAGAGCUUACGUAAUUGGCAUGGAGGUGUUCUUCUCAAGGUAGUAAAGGGGCACUUCUUUAUUUUUUUAAUUUAAUUUUAUUUAAUGGUUUGGUCUGUGUCAGGCUUGAAAGUGAACUUAGCAAAUUGAGAAUUCGUUUUAAUCGGAAAUGUUUGUAAUGCGGAGGGCUUGGUAGCAUAUUGAGGUGUAAGGUAUCCUUCUUGCCUAGGACGUUAACCUCUGUUUGAUAUCCUUAGUCAAGACAAAGUUCAAAUUGGCUAGUUUGGAUGGUCUGAUUGAAAAGAUGAAGUUCAAAUAGGCUAGGUUGAAGAGAUUUAUUUGCUUAAUAGAGGCUGGAUUUAUCUUGGCCAAAACUACUCGAUCCAACUUGCCCAAAUGUUUUAUGUCUUUGAGACUUGCUAUUGCUCAAUCUGACAUUAUUGGGAAAACGUAAACAGGAAACGUGGGCUUUUUUGAAGGGUGUAAUAGACAAGGUUUUGUGAGGCUUGGAGUGGCUGAUGCUCGAACAAGGGACAUGGACCAGAUGGGGGUGUGUGGUUUUGGAAGCAUGUAAGGAAGAGGAUGGGGGCUAUUUUUGGGCAUACUCAACUUGAGUUUGGGGAAGGAUCCUCAAUUAAAUUUCAACACUAUUUAUGAUGUGGAGGUAAGGUCUCCAAGGAAUUGUUUCAAAAUGUGUGAGAUUGUGCGAGUGCAGGAAGCUUCAGUAGUGAGAUUGUGCGAGUGCAAGAAGCUUCAGUAGCUAAUAUUUUGGACUUAGCAGUGGUUUAUCUCAAUAGAAUUUCAAUUCUUCAAAGAAGUACAAGACGAGGAAGUUGAUGCGUUCGAAGAAUUUUCUUAGUUAAUUGCACUCUUCUAAACCGAGAGUGGGAGACGAAGUCAAGGCCCUUUCGUGACCCUAAAGAAGGAGCGUUCAUUUUUAAUUUAUUCUAUAAAGUUCUCGCAAACUCAUCAUAUGUUAAUCGAUAUCCUUGGAGGAAUAUUUGGAAGACUCAAGCACCUCUAAGAGCAGAUUUUCUGUUUAGACUGCUUUCUCGUGGAAGAUUCUUGAAUUAUAUGUGGCGGAUCUUCCCUAGAGAUACAGUCAAGGCAAAGAAAGUCACUUUCAAAGGGGCCUUUGCUCUCCAAAGUUUCUUCCAUGGGUGCUUAUUGUUUAUUAUGACGUGACAAAGAAAGCGAACGCUAAACAUCUUUUUCUUGGAUGGGCCCAGAAAGUUGACUUCAGCCCCUUCUCAAAUUUUUGGAGUGCAAUAGGUGAAAAAACUAACUUGACGCUUCUACCUCCCAGGCUUGCGCUGCUUCGAUGAAGCUUCUAUUCUACCGAGAAGAGGCACCUGCAAUCUCCAAAUUGUUCAUCGCUGAAGCAUCGUUAACUCAAGGUACGCUUAACACCUCUAUGAAAGCUUCCUUCGGAAGCUAUCACCACACCACAAAUAAUUCCAAAAUAUGAUUUAGCUCCAUCUUACCCAUAAUUCCCUAUAAUGUUCCAUAAUGGCACCCCACCACACCUUGAACCUCAUUAGAACAUAUUUCGCCUCACAAGCAUCCAUAUUUGGAAUCUAAUACAGUUCUCCCCAAUGCACCCCUCUCACGUGGAUGUCGCGAAGUUCAUAUCCCUAAUAAUGCAAGGUCAAACAAUAGCAAAUUUUGAUUCCUCAACACACCUUUUGAAAUACAAAAAGCAAACCUUUGCCCAACUUGCCAGAUGGUAUUUCCUCCCUAUAACACCCCAAAGGAAGUCUCGCUUCACCUUCUCACUGUGAUUAGCCACAGUAAAAGCAGGUGGAAACGAAGGGCAUGAAAGCGAGACAGAGUUGAAACCAACACUCACAAUGAAAUAUACAAACAAAAGAGGUUAACUUCAGCGAUGUUUGUGAUGGCUAUUAGAAAGCGAGAUAGAGUUGAAACCAACACUCACAAUGAAAUACUGAAAGUAUUGAAUGGAAUGAGUUUUAAUGACUUUUAUGCUACUUUCCGUAGCACGUAGCUUGUAAUUAGGCUCUUUCUUGUAUACUUCCUGUAUACUCAGGUUUUGCCUUUUUACGUGGAUCAAUAAAAUCUCUUUACCUAUCAAAAAAAAUGAAAUACUGAAAGAUUUUUCUCACAAAUCAACCUUCUCUAUGCUGAACUACCAAAACUUAAUUCAGCUUCAGGGAAUUUUAUAUGUUGCAAACAGACUUUAACAUGAUACACAUUGCUGCUGUGUGCCCCAUCAUGCGUAGUUAUAAUACACAUUGUUUAUAGCUUUUGUGCAUCUCUUAAUGUGGUUUUCUGUUGUGUUUAUUGCUUUGCUAUGUGAAUGGAAAACGCAUCAAGAAACUACCCUGUGAUAUUUGCUAUGUGUGGGCUUGGUGGGACCUUUCCAAUAUGGCAGUUCUGAAAACAAACGGUUAAGUUGUUUUCCUUUUAUCUUGUUGAAAUGGAUGAGUGUUCAUCAAAGAUUACGAACAAUUACAAUGAGGUAAAUUUAUUUUUCCUUUUGUUCUUUUUGUCUUUCUACUAAGUAAGAAGUUGGUAGUUACUGUCGUCUUGAAUAACUAUCACAUUUUUUCACUAAAUGACAUUGACGGAGCAUGGGUUUUUAUUUAGGGGAGCUGGAUGAAGUUGUAGAAGAAAAUCUUCAAAAACAACUCUGAACAAACGAAUUAUGAAUUACAAAUGAAUUAUUAUUUAGAGGGGCUGGAACUAAUCUAUGUGGGUUUUUUUUUUUUUUGAAUGCCUAUGACUUCGUUGAGUGAAAAGAAAUUGACCAUAGAAAAGAGCUGUUACUUUCUUGUGGAGUUGUGGGAAAACCCUGGAACUGGAAAAAGAAGGGAAAGUUUGAGAUUGAAUUGGUAUUUCAGAUUUAAAAGAAUUUGGUGCAAAGCUCGAAAAGAAGGUUGCGCUCCUUUAAAAUCCUUUUGACAUUUUGCAGGUUUCUUUGGGGAUUUUCUUAAAUAAUAAAUUGGUAUGGUUGCGAUGCAUUUGCCCACAAAACGAUAUUUCACCUGUUGAGAUAGCUACAAUCAUGCUACAUGUCAUCUUUAUCAUGGUUACUCCAUCCACUAGUUUUGCCAGUGCCAGUGUCUUUCUUGUAUACUUAGGUAGAGUACCAUUACAAAUGUACUAAUAAAUUAUGCAACCAUUUUAUGCUUUGCCAUUUAUUUUCGUUUGUAUUUAAAGAAAUUGUUUUAAUUAAUGCUCGAAACAUAUCAUCAUUUUUUUCCACUGCAAGUGACAACUCAAUUUUUAUUCUGGCUGCUUUAUACCAAAUUCAUUUAUUCUGUAUGGAGGAUAUAGCUUCUUGACUUAAAACCAUCCUGCACUUGUUUUGAUAACUUAUUUUGGCUUUUCAUGAAAAUGCAAGGCAAACAAUUCUCUUGAUUAUAGUGGAUUUCUCUGCAUUGUGGGCUCUCAUGUAUGUUUCAGCACUCUUUUUUUUUUUUUUUUUUUUUUUUUUUUUUUUUUUUUUGCAAAAUAAUUUUUGGGAUGCCAUCUAUUUUAUUUCUCUACAAUCAUUUUUCAAUUAUUUUUAUUUUCAUCUAUUCUCGCUUUUAACUGGGGAUGAGAUCCUAUUGCAGCGCCACCAGUGCUAUCGGUUUAGCAAUUACAAACCAGGUUAUCUACUGGCUAACUACUAGUACAAAAAAAUUAUAACACCUCUUUAAUUUUGGUUGUGGUUAAUUAAUUUUGAUAUAAUUUUGUGUUGCAUGGUACCAUAACUUGGUCAGCAAAUCUUUUGGUCGAAAUUGGUCCCUGAAGUUGUUACUCUCUCCCUCUUUUUUUCCUAGUUUACUUUCUAUUUUUUGCUUUUCUUGGACGUGCGCAUGCAUCUUAGCGAUCUGUCAUUUUCUGGUGAGUUUUCGGCCUGUAAUCGUAGAAGCGAAAGUUUCGAGAUUUUAGGACAUGGUCAGUAAGUCUGUUGGUUUAAAACUGAUGCUAGGAGUUCCUUAUUUUUUGGGUCUCUCUCUCUAAUUUUGUUUUUUCUUUUGUUGGGCAUAUGCAUGCAUCUUAGAGAUCUGUCGUUUAGCUAUCACAAAAUGGCAUGUCCACUUUCAAAAGUUGAUCUAAACAUGCUAUAUCAUUUGGACAUGUUUUCUGGUCUUUUUUACUCAUUAUAUGCUGUAUCAUUUGGAAAUGAGAUGAGGGAUAGGCUGUCAUGGAAUCCAAGUGGAAAUAAAAAGUUCUCGGUGCGGUCCCUUUAUUUGGCUCUCUUGGAUUUAUACCAUGGUCAUAGCUAUUCUUGAAAGGCUAUUUGGAAGUGCAAGGUACCUUCCAAAAUUGCAUUCUUUGUCUGGACAACAUCUAUUGGGCGGAUUCUUACCUUGGAUAACUUGAGAAAACAUGGGUUCAUUAUUUUAGAUUGGUGUUAUAUGUGUAAGUGUAAUGGGGAAUCAGUUGAUCAUCUCUUAUUACACUGUGAAGUGGCCCAGUGUUUAUGGUAUGGAGUUUUUAAUAGGAUAGGGGUGGCAUGGGUCAUGCCAAGAAGUGUUCAGGAUCUUAUGUGCUGGUGGAAAGGUAUCCGGGGAAAUGCUCUAAUCGUUGCUGUGUGGUGAAUGAUACCUCACUGCAUUAUGUGGUGUGUAUGUGGUUGGAGAGAAACAAGAGGUGUUUUGAAGAUAUGGAGCACUCUAUGGCUGAACUGAAACGUUUUUUUCUACAGUACACUGCUUUCCUGGGCUUCGGCCAUUAUUUGUAACACAGAUGAUCUCCAUACUUUGCUUGUAACUCUCACUAAUACUUAGUUGUAACCUGGCAUGUUCUUUGUAUAGUGUAAUCAGGCUAUGCCUCUUUUAUUAAUAAAACUUACUUUUACCUAUCAAAAAAAGAAAAAAACAUUAGACAAAAUGGCAACUGAAGGCAUAAAAAAUGGUGGAAAUGCCACUGGAUUGAGUUUUUAUUUUCUGAUAGCUAGGAUCUGAGAGGGAAGUGUACAAAUUUCAUCUUCUAAAUUGGGCAAGGGUAAGCACUUCGUCUAGGGAGGGUUCAGAGUUUGAGACUUGCUAUUGCUCAAUCCACAGUAUUGGGAAAAUGGCUAGUGAUAUAAACAAGAAACGAGGGGCUUUGUGGAAGGGUGUAAUAGAUAAGGAUUUUUGGAGCUCAGAGUGGCUGGUGCUCGAAUGAGAGGCUUGGACCAGAUGGGUUGUGGGGUUUUGGAAGCAUGUAAGAAAGAGGAUGGAGGCUAUUUUUGGGAAUACUCAACUUGAGUUUGGAGAAGGAUCCGCAAUCAGAUUUUGGCAAUUUAUGAUGUGGAGGUAAGGUCUUCAAGGAAGCAUUUCCAAAAGUGUGAGAUUGUGCAGGUGCAGGAAGCCUUAGUAGCUGAUAUUUCAGAAUUAGUAGUAGUUUUUCUCAAUCCAAUGUUAAUUCUUCAAAUAAGUACAAGACGAGGAAGUUGAUGCCUUCAAAGAAUUUCUUAGUAAAUUGCACUCUUCUAAACCGCAAGUUGGAGACGAAGACAAGGCCCUUUUGUGCCCCUAAAGGAGUAUGCAUUGUUCGUUUAUUCUAUCAGGUUCUGGCAAAGUCGUGUUAAUCGAUAUCCCUGGAGGAAUAUUUAGAAGACUUAUCUGCUAAGUUAGAAGUUGGUACUUAUUGUGUCUUGAAUCACCACCGCACCUUUUUUCAUUGAAAGACCAUGACGGAGCAAGGUUUUUCAUUUAUGGGGUGCUGGAUGAAGUUGUAGAUUAAAAUCUUUAAAAAUAACUCUAAUGAAUUAUGAUUACAUCUUAAAGUUCUUGAGCGAAAACAUCAUUUUAUUGUGCUUUUUGUUUCUAAAAAUUAUAACAUCACAGAAAAUAUAAAUAUAAAUAUAUUUGUUAGUUUUUAA